GGAGAGAGGAUGCCAAAAGGAGAGAGAGGAGAGAGGCUGCCAAGAGGAGAGAGGAUGCCAGAAGGAGAGGAGGAGAGAGGAUGCCAGAAGGAGAGAGGAUACCAGAAGGAGAGAGAGGAGGAGAGGAUGCAAGAAGGAGAGAGGAGGAGAGAGGAUGCCAAAAGGAGAGAGAGGAGAGAGGAUGCCAGAAGGAGAGAGAGGAGGAGAGGAUGCCAGAAGGAGAGAGGAUGCCAGAAGGAGAGAGGAGGAGAGAGGAUGCUAGAAGGAGAGAGAGGAGGAGAGGAUGCCAGGAAGAGAGAGGAUGAGAGAGGAUGCCAAAAGGAGAGAGGAUGACCGAAGAAGAGAGAGGAGGAGAGGAUGCCAGAAGGAGAGGAGGAGAGAGGAUGCCAAAAGGAGAGAGAGGAGAGAGGAUGCCAAGAGGAGAGAGGAUGCCAGAAGGAGAGGAGGAGAGAGGAUGCCAGAAGGAGAGAGAGGAGGAGAGGAUGC
ensembl:lncRNA